rnacentral:misc_RNA from 1 species
UUUCCGUAGGUGAACCUGCGGAAGGAUCAUUCAUAAUAAGUGUUUUAUGGCACUUUUUUAAAUCCAUAUCCACCUUGUGUGCAAUGUCAGGGUUGAUUUUUCUCUCGAGAGGAUCAACCCCAAACAUCAACUAUAUCUCACUCUUUGUCUGAAAAAUAUUAUGAAUAAAACAAUUCAAAAUACAACUUUCAACAACGGAUCUCUUGGCUCUC